GUGAUUUUUUGUUGUUAUGUAUUUCUUCCUCUGUUGUUGAAAAUUGGUUCGAUUUAGCCUCCUUCAUCUCGAAACAUUUGAUUUGCUUUAGCCUUUUCUGUGAGUGAGAUUAUGUGGUGUUUUAUUGUUAUACAUGAAUUCCAAAUAUGUGUGAAUGAAGAUGGGUGAAGAGCUACAAUUGUAAAAUUCGUUCUGGGCAGUCGAAAAUGUGGCAAGAAGAUGAUCUUUUUGUUUCUUCAAAUUACACAUGUAAAACUUAGGUGUUGCUUUGAAUUGGUAAUUACUCGAAUGUUGGUUCGUGCAGACAGUGCUCAAAGAGCUUUACGAUCCAAGUAUAAUUGAGUGUAUUGAUGCAUUCCCUCACAGUGGAAACUCGGUAGGAUUAGUGUAGGUUAAUUAAGUUCCACUGCCUUAAUUGAAAUACUUGAUGCAUUCUUACAAACAGGGGCAGACAAUAUAAUGUUUUCACCCCAGUAUUUUUACACGAGCAUUGUAUGUUAG
rnacentral:lncRNA from 1 species